UCUUUCAACCAUCCAUCAAGGUAAACUUGAUUGGAGUUAGGGGUGGAUUUUACUUGCUCAACUUGGCUAUCUUUCAACCAUCCAUCAAGAUAAACUUGAUUGGGAUUUGGGGUCGAUCUUGCCUUGUCAACUUGGCUAUCUUUCAACCAUCCAUCAAGGUAAACUUGAUUGGAGUUAGGGGUGGAUUUUCCUUGCUGAACUUGGCUAUCUUUCAACCAUCCAUCAAGAUAAGCUUGAUUGGAGUUUGGGGUCGAUUUUGCUUUCUCAAGCUGGGCAUCUUUCAGCCAGCCAUCAAGGUAAACUUGAUUGGAGUUAGGGGUGGAUUUUCCUUGCUGAACUUGGCUAUCUUUCAACCAUCCAUCAAGAUAAGCUUGAUUGGAGUUUGGGGUCGAUUUUGCUUUCUCAAGCUGGGCAUCUUUCAGCCAGCCAUCAAGGUAAACUUGAUUGGAGUUAGGGGUGGAUUUUUCUUUCUCAACAUGGCUAUCUUUCAACCAUCCAUCAAGAUAAACUCGAUUGGAGUUGUGGGUGGGUUUUGCUUUCUGGACCCGGCUAUCUUUUAACCAGCCAUCAAGGUAAGCCUGAUUGAGGUUGUGGAUAGUUUUUUCCUUUUGAUCUUUGGUGUCUUUCAACCACCCGUCAAGAUAAACUUGGUUGGAGUUUGGGUUGGAUAUUUCUUUCUCAACUUGGCUAUCUUUCAACCACCCGUCAAGGUAAACUUGGUUGGAGUUUGGGGUCGAUUUUGCUUUCUCAACUGGAUCUUUCAACCAUCCAUCAAGGUAAACUUGAUUAGAGUCAGAGGUGGAUUUUGCUUUCUCAACUUGGGUAUCUUUUAGCCAUCCAUCAAGGUAAACUUGAUUGGAGUUAGGAGUGGAUUUUGUUUUCUGAACUUGGGUAUCCUUUAACCAUCCAUCUAGGUAAACUUGAUUGGAGUUGUGGGUGGUCUUUUCC
rnacentral:lncRNA from 1 species